rnacentral:rRNA from 1 species
UUCGCAAUGCCCGAAAGGGUGACGAAGCGACGCCGCGUGCGGGAAGAAGGCCUUCGGGUUGUAAACCGCUGUCGGGAGUUAGGAAAUGCAAGGAUGUUAAUAGCAUCUUUGCUUGACUAAGGCUCCGGAGGAAGCCACGGCUAACUCUGUGCCAGCAGCCGCGGUAAUACAGAGGCGGCAAGCGUUGUUCGGAAUUAUUGGGCGUAAAGAGCACGUAGGCGGCCGUGUAAGUCGGUUGUGAAAGCCUUCCGCUCAACGGGAGAACGGCAUCCGAUACUGCAUGGCUCGAGUGCGGGAGGGGAGAGUGGAACUUCUGGUGGAGCGGUGAAAUGCGUAGAUAUCAGAAGGAACGCCGGCGGCGAAAGCGGCUCUCUGGCCCGUAACUGACGCUGAGUGUGCGAAAGCUAGGGGAGCAAACGGGAUUAGAUACCCCGGUAGUCCUAGCCGUAAACGAUGGGCACUAAGUAGAGGGGUUUU